ensembl:snoRNA LOC120101341 small nucleolar RNA SNORA17
AGUGAUUAUUCUGGUCUCACGGGGGUUGCUGCUGUAUUAGGUGUGUAUCAGAAGGUGGCAGAGAGGAGAGAGGCCAUGUCUAUGCUCAGUGUUCUGACCUGCAAACAUCUGAAUGGUCAAUAAUGUAAGCUC